AAAAAAGCCACAUAAAGAUGAAUUAAUUCCUGUAGUUGGCUCUAGCAAUGGGGUGAGGCACAGAGAGGCAGUCCUGAGGGAUUGGUAUUCUAGUAGAGAAAAAUAGAGAUGGGAGGAUCUAGGGAGCAGCCAGAGAUCUGAGAGGCUGGGUUACGCACAGGCUGCAGGGAAGCACCACAAGGGGCUCAGAGAUAGGCAGUGGCCGAGAGAAACAGCAGUGUAUCUGAAGAAGCGCCUGCUUCAUACAGAGUCCCUGGGCUGGAACCAAGAGUAGAAUGUGGGACUGGCUUCCCCUCCCAGCUUGAUGUAUUGAGCCCAGAGUGUGGCUGAAGUCUGAGCCUCAAGACCAGGCCAAGGAAUAGCCUAAGAGAGGGCAGAAGGAUCUCUUGUGUUGCUCCCCUGGAAGGGGAGAGACUUUAAAGUCACCUGGCUGAUGGGCUGAACUACGACAAGAGGCAGACUACUACAGGAUGGAAGUGACCAUUGGACAUAAUACGUAACAUGGAAGAAAAUGAUCUCAAAUGCUUAUCAGUGACUCGGAAACAGCUAGAGACUCAUCACUUGGAAAGGAAAAAAGAAGACGACAGACCUGGGAGUGUUGGGCAAUCACAAAUGACUAUGCGCCACCAAUGCAAUGUUGCUGCAAAAAAGCAAACACGAUCCUAAGAUCCAUCAGGACUCAGUGGCCUUGAUCCUUGACUGCAGCUGGGGAGUGCAUAGCCCACCUUGGGAGAAGAGGGUGUAUGUCGCCUGUAAGCCAUGUUCUUUGCUCCCCUAAUACACUGGAGGACCAGACUGGCCGACUGACUCUGAGUUAGAGCAACCUUCUGAUUGCUCUACCAUCAAGCCAAAACAGCAGUGAGCCCUAGAAUGGUGUAGACGUUGUUGCGCUCUUCUUCCCAGCUAUCCCCCCUGUGCCAAAAGAAAGAGCAGGAACCGCUGCACUAGCUCUGUGAAAGAACUUCCUAAAAGAGGAUGAUCUUCCUGGCUUUAGGGCCACUUAGCCCCAAUGCUAUGGGGGGCAAAGUGGCUGCUGCAUGGCCCAGGAUGGGGUCAUGGUUUUAGUCAGUGUUUUUCAACUUGCUGAUGGCAGUUAAUGUUUAAAGGGAAGUCUUAAGAUGCAGAAUCAUUUAAAAUGAUGUUAAUUCUGGGUGAACCCCAGCAGCUACAGAGUUGACUUGGGCUGGCCCUGCACCGGUAUACUAGGCAAGCAGAAAAGGUGAAGGAGCCCUUUUCCAUCCUACAACUCUCACGUAAGGUGCAGCCAGAAUUUGUCUGCAAGGCCAUUUGCUGGGCAUGUUGGGGAUGAGCAAGGGCUGCCAGGAUACUCCCAGACAUGCCCCCUCAUGGCUGAUGGUAGACUAUGGACUCCCCCACGCCGCCCUGGCAGAGAAGCUAGCUAUGCUUUCUCAAAUAUGUAGCUAGAAUCAAUUCCUAGAUAAGUCCUCGUGGCAUCAGUGGAGUCUGUAUAUUUUUCAAAGGCAUAAUGAAUCCAGGCAACACUGCUUGAAUAAUGCACAUCUUUCCUAGUGUACCAUCACCUUGUAGGAGGCAAAAUUUGGCCCCAAUUGUACAAACUAUUGUGACAGAUUUAUGUUACCAAUCUGCCUGGGCCAUCAGGUGAUCAGGCUGAGGCUGCAAGAUCUUUAGGGGAGGAGAUGGAGGA